rfam:Oryza glumipatula chromosome 7, whole genome shotgun sequence.
AAUAAGCGUAGUUGUGGGUUUUAGUGCCAAUAUUUGACCACCCGUCUUAUUUGAAAUUUUUUUAUAAUUACCAUUUUUAUUGUUAUCAGAUGAGAAAAUAUGAAUAUUACUUUAUGUGUGGCUUAAUUUUUAAAAUUUGUUCAUAAUUUUUUUAAAUAAGACGAAUGGUCAAACGUUAGACACAGAAAUUUAAUUUAUGACUGCACUUGGA